AGGAAAGCAGGCAGUCACUUAUUUGAUUCUUUGAUAUGUAAACAUCAUUGAAGUCUCCAAUCACUAGAAAUCAUUUUGAUAAUUCAUUAGGUAACAGCACUGAAGUGCUGCUCAGCAAAAAUCUAACCUAGGAACACUGAUAAUGUCCCAUAAAACAAUAACAUUAAACAAAACAAAGCUGUAAAAUCAUGAUAACUAGAACAAAAUCAAAACAUUGGGAGUAAGUCCUUAUAUCUAGUAAUGAACCUGUUAAAAUAAGUGUUUGUUCUGAAGGCCAUGUUGUAGUUCCUAGCUUCGUCACCAGGUGGCGCGGUCGUUUGUGAGUAGUAUUUCUUUUUUCAUACCAAAACAUUGUUUGAGAAGCCGUGCAGGUCAGCGGACAUGGUGUUUGAAGGUGGUUUUGUUAUUUUGUUCGAGUGUGCGUCCAUAUGAAUGAACCACACACAAAUGUCUACAAACUUCAAUCCACGCACAUCCUGCCUGUAAACCAGUUGUCACCGGCUGAUUAAAGAGUCAAACCAUCA